UUGCAGCAUAAUCAAAAAGCGGAGGAAAAGAAACCAACAGGGAUUGCCCUAGUAACGGCGAGUGAACAGGCAAGAGCUCAGAUUUGAAAGGCACUUUUGUGCCGUUGUAUUCUGAAGUUAGGGUCCUGAGAAACGAUGCUUAAGUCUUCUGGAAAGGAGCGCCAUGGAGGGUGAUAGCCCCGUCUAGCAUUGACCUCAUAUAGGAUCUUAACAUGGAGUCGAGUUGUUUGGGAAUGCAGCUCAAAUGGGUGGUAUGCUCCAUCUAAAGCUAAAUAUCUGCGAGAGACCGAUAGUAAACAAGUACUGUGAGGGAAAGAUGAAAAGAACUUUGAAAAGAGAGUGAAAAAGUACGUGAAAUUGUUGAAAUGGAAGGGUAGGCCGCUAACCAUGUAGAGCCGUGUUUGGGGGGAAGAUAAAUGCUGUAGAAUGUAGCUCCUCGGAGUAUUAUAGAUGCAGUUCAUAUUCCCACCCGAGCGCGAGGAUCUCAUUUCAAUUAAUUUGGAGAUUG
rnacentral:rRNA from 1 species